rnacentral:lncRNA from 1 species
UAAACUUCAAAGACUGAUAAUGGAUGAAUUGUAUCACUUCUGAUAGAUUGCAAAGACCCUCCCAAGCAUUCUUCAACAAGUUUUAAAGGACUGCCUUAUUUCCAUAAUCUCCAUGCCUGCAGCAAAUUGAAACCCUUUUAGGUUUUAUCAGUCCAAGAUAAGCAGCAGAAAAUUGAUUAUAAAAUAUCUGCUGAAACUGACAUGUUCAAGAAGGUUGCUGCUCUGUGUUGGAUGGUAAAGCCCUCUAUUUUUUCUUCACACUUAUUAUCUCCUGCAAUAAUAUGCCAAAGCUAAAGAUAUCUGAUUUUACUGAAAGCAGUCCGUCAAUAGCAUAUUCAGUGCCAUAUAACCACUGCAGAACAUUAUCGAUAGCAAUAAAUAUAUGAGGAUCUGUAGACAUUAUGAAAAUAAAUGGACACUUACUAAGUUCCAACGACUCUUUUAGUGUUCCCUUCAGUAUGGCCUCCUCCAAAAGUUCUAGCUAUGCCAAAAUCUGAAAUUUUUCGAUUCAUCUCACUAUCAAGCAGAACGUUACUAACUUUAAGAUCUCUAUGAAUAAAAAAAAUUAUUCAAAUGAAAUGGCAAAGAAUUUAAUUAACACUUUUGAAGAAACUGCAUGUGGAUUUGCUAGCAUCUCUAUUAACAAAGUAAAUUUUUUUUUGUUUAUUUAGCAAAGGAACAAAAUUAGCAUAUUUGUGAAGGAUAUAUCAAAGUUACCAGUCAACUUUGCAUGACCUCUGUAAAGGAAAUGACUGACAGUAAACAGCCCCAAAAGCACAACACAGUAGUUUUGCAAUUACUGCAGGAAGUUUUAUCCUGGGCUUAUCUUUCAAUUCUGUAUGACGAAAUUUGAAACAUGAACAAAAACAAAAGAAGCAGCGAAAAGAAGAGAAAAUGUAGACUCAUAUUUGAUUCUGAAGCAGACACGCUAACAUUGAGAUCCUGCCCUUUUGAUUGAAAUUGUCUGCAAUCAAUCAGAUGAUGAAACUAAAGGGCCCAACCACUACCUCUUCCUCUGUUAUCCGAACUAGUGUAUGCCAUAUGGGAAUAGUUCUGUAGAUAUUUAGCCCUGCAUCCCUUGAGAUUCAUAGUUUUAGUCCAAGAAUGUGUAGCAUUUGGCAUUUUCAAAUCUUUUAAAUCUGAUAAAUCCAUCUCUGCUUUGGCAGUUGAAUGGCUUAUUGUGCUUACACCCGAGGGACCAGUCUGAUGAGUUCUAUCUUUCAGGGAAUUCAGGCUUAAACAUCAGCUUUCAGGGAAUUAAGGCUUGAAUCCUUUAAAAAGUGGAAGCUGAGUACCAUCACAAUUCCCUUUUGAACCACAAAGUCCAUAUCUGUCAAAGUAGUCUCUUGAAGCAAAUGAGAAAAGCAUCCAAGCUUGCUUUCUGCAUUUCAUGUGUAGUCCUGUGAUCAUUGAUUUCUAUUUGAGACACUUUGGAUGGUUGACAUAUAAAAUACGUAUACCAGGUGGGUAGAUCAUGCGUUGUUUUUAUAAGAUGAUGUGAUUGACUGACUUUUGAUAAAUGAACCGUACAGAAAGUGCAGCAGAAAACAAAUUGUAAACAUUGAGGUUCCAGAUAAUUUGUGUUAUUUAAUAAUUUGAAGCUUAUUCCUCUAAUCAUUCUCUUCACUGGACAAACAUAACUUCAAUGACUUACUUGUAUUAAAUGAUUUCCAAUUCAUCAACCAUUUAAGACCAGUGUGGAUGUGCAGGAUAGUCGUAAGAAUUCAUCUCCAAGUUCAACAGGGCUGCCUUCCUCCCAUAAUCUCCAAGCCUGCAACAAUUGGCGGAGAAAUGCAGAUUGAAGGGUGUUAAGUUGGAGAUUUUAUUUUUAUAUUAAAAAAUAAAAAAUUAAAGACUUGGUUUUAUUUUGAUAUUAAAAAAGAGUAAUUAUUUAGCAAAUGAGAAAUUAAGAGAUAAAAACAGGAUGUGGAUGAAAAUAAACUCACAAUGUUUGCAGUUUUUAAUAAGAAGCAAGAGCCUUGCACCCACAUUUAAUCAAACAUCACUUCUAUUUCUCAUUCUAUCACUGAUAUCGAACAAAGGGAGAAAGGAAUCCUUAGCAUCAGGUUGAUCCCAUUCCACUGAUUCCCACCAUUCUCUCGGGUGUACUCUGAUUUGUUUUAGAGAAGAAGGAGGAGAUGGUUUCCCAUUUUCAGCAAGGGGAAGAGACAAAGGGAUCUUCUUUACUUCUCGACAUGCCAAUAUAUUAUAAGAAACAAGAAGUUUUUGUUUCCAUCAUCUUUGAGUAUAAUAUUUACAUUUCCAACAAGAUUUAUAUCUAGAUGAAUUUAUUCAUUUUUCCCCUUAAAGAACCAUCUCAAAUUCUUGAAUAUAUCAUAUCUAUGUGGUUCCUAGUCUUGAUCAUUACAACAUUAAUAAAAGGAUGAUGAGAAUGAAGAAAUCAGUUGACUAUAAAUUUAUAAAUGACAAAAUUUUUUAUUAAAAAAGGAAACCAUUUAAAGUUGAUACCUUGCUUUUCUAACACAUAUACAUACUAAAUAAAUGUUAUAUAUCUAUUAAUCAAUGCAAAAUUUUAAUUUUGGUAUUGAAAGACUAAAUUUACUAAAUUUGAUUAUGCAUUUUACACAUUUAAUAAAAAUUUAAGUUAGAAUAGGUAAGAAUAUCUAAUUGUUGGCCUUAAUGAAUAUAGAAAUUACUAUUGAAUGUUGAAAAUGAAUAUAGGCAUAAUGCUCAAAAAAACUCUUGAACUAUUUAAGAAAAUUCAAAUAAAUUUUUAUUCUUUUAUUGUGUUCAUUCAAGUCCUUAUAUUUUUAUUUAAUUUGGAUUAAGCAAGCCUUUAUAACUAAUAGUUUACUAAUUGUUAUUAAUCAAAAUGUCUCUUAUCAUUUUAUAUUCAUGUGGUGUUGAGAAGACGCUGAUGCGGAGGGUGAAAAAUAAGAUAUGACCAUAUCAUCAUACCACAUCAACGUGUUUUAAAAAAUCUUAAAAAAUAAUUAUAAGAAUAAACUAAGAAUGUAGAAUGACAUUAAAAAAACCAUUUAAACUUAACAGCCAUUUUUUCUUUUUAUGGGAGAACAAAAACAAAGAGAGAAUUUCACAAACAUCUCGUAUAAGAUUAAUAAAUGUCAUGUAUGCGUAUUAAAUAAAUAUCAUGUAUAUAUUAAUCAACGUAAAGUUUUAAUUUUGAUAUUGAAAGACUAAAUUUAGUACAUUUGAUUAGUUUUAUUUAUUCAUUUUAUUCAUUUAAUACAAAUUUAAAUUAGAUAAAGUAAGAAUUUCUAAUUGUUAGCUAAAUGAAUAUAGAAAUUACCAUUUAAUGUUAAAAAUAGAUAUUUUCACACAAAAGUAUAUAUUUGGUCGCGUAACUCAAACAAAAGAAAAACUUCAUACUAUUAAAUUUUUUGUUGGAGACUAUAGUUGCUUACGUUAUUUUAAUCCUUUUUUUCCCAUAUAUUUUGUCUACUCAUAUUUAGUUUCUAUGGUUCCCUAGUCUCAAUUCCAUCAUCAAAUAUAAAUUAAAGAGAAAGAACCAAAAAAAAAUUAUAUGGAGUUUGUUGAAGGAUAAAUUUAUGCCAGAAGGUAAGAUUCAGAGAUGUUACCAAAGAUGAAAAAUAUAAGCGCAGAUGCUUCAGCUUGUUGAUAUCACUAAGCAGAUCCCCUUGCAGAUUCCUAUAUAAUGAGAAGGAAUUAUGAAGCGAAUAAGUCAAUGCAAAAUUAUCCUUUAUGAGAAACUAUCCUUGCAAAAAUUGUCAAGAAAUCAAGAUCUUCAAAAUUAUCCUUUAUGACAAGAAAACGAAUGAUGAAGAACAUGAACUAUUGAAAAGUGGGCAAGAUGAAUAAUUCUAUGGAACUUAUGUUAAGAUGGGUUUGUGUUAUAAGGUAAGAUUCUGAUUAAUUAAUGUUACCAAAGAUGAAGACAAAUCAUAAGCAUCGACAGUUUACCUGGUUCAGUGAGGCAGUGAAUUAAUUGAUACUUCUAUCCUCAAAAGGUCUUUAUUAAUUUUCGGAAACAAGCAUGUUGAAGAAAAAUAAACAGCAAAAAGCAGAUGAUCUCCUUGCCAAAUUAAAAGAAAGUCCUAAUCUUAAGCUUCCGUGAGAGGAAAAUCAAUGAAUUACGAAGCAAGUAAGAAUUAAAAGUCGUCGCACAUGUUGUGAAGUCACUUUCCUUGGAGCUGUUUCACAAUAAUGCAAAUGUGAAUACAAGAAAAACUGGCAAAGUAGGACCGAAUAAUGGGGCCACUUAUCCUACUCUCCUUUAUUGUUGUCCUCACAAGUCACAACUUUCUUUCACAGAAUGUCCAUUGGUUUCUACUUUCAAAGCUUGUAAAAUUCAUAGAAAAACUUUUCAGUUUGUCAGAUUUUAGAGAGCAAACAUGUUUAAACUGAUAACCGUUAAUUAGUAUGCAAUUCUUCCUUCAAAUGACCAUUGGCUGUCUUGUGCAUGCUCUACCUGGCCCUUAACAGUAAUGACUAGCAGUUUAUGGAUUGCAGAAAAGCUACCUUAUAGUAAAUGCAGUUCUUCGAGUGUCAUGUGAGGAGGGACAAUGAACAUAUAAAAUUUUUUAGGAUGAAAAUUUGAGAAUCCUUUCUCUUGUUUUUUCCCCAUCAACUAUACUAUGAUUGGUUGAUUUUGAUUAGACUCUUAAACCUAUAAAUUACAAGCUAUUUAAGAAUUUAGCUUGAUUACGUCAUUCUUACACUAAAUAAGGCCAACAUGACAAGUCAGAAACAUAUAUUCGUUAUAUGCACAAUGUCUUAGAGUUUCCCUCCUUCCAUCCAUAAUCCUACUCGGGAAGAGAAGACUUUAACCGCAAAUUACUAUUCAUAAGAUGUUUUGAUUAAUUAUAUCACAGAUCAGCGUUUUCAUUUUGCCUCAUUUUUCUUAUUAUAAUUAAUUCAGCAUAAUUAAGAGAAUAAAAGCACGAUAAAGAAAGAAUCAAAAUAAUUUUAUGUAAGUUGACAAAAUAGUUUUAUGUAUAGAUUUCUCUUGUCGAUUCUCAAGAUGAUGCUGGAAUCACCAGAACCAUUUAUUAUAUGUUAACUUCCCAGCUGAUUGUGAAUUAAUUUUUUCUAUAAUUUUCGUCUGACGUUUGUAGAUCUUAGUAAUGAUCUGAAGCAGAGCCAGAGCAGGAGGCUUUGAGCUGUAAUUUGUUUGCAUCUGCAACAUGAUUGAAGAAUCUAAUUAACUAUGCACAACAAGUUUAUCCCUAGAUAUAAGUAAUGAGAAAGAAGCUAUACAUGCUUGUCAGCCAUUUCAGAUUACUUGAAAAGAUAAAUUGUUGAAGAAACCAGUUUUAUCAUUUCGUCUUCUUCCAGAAUAGCCUGUUUAUGAUUCCGUGGGUAUUGGUUAUGAAUUGGGGUAUUUCCAUUCCAUCAUCCGCUGUUUAAAAUCAGAAAAAAGAAGCAGCAAAGCAAAGCCGAGGGAAGAUAAUAGCAGCUAGGAAAAUCUCCUGUCCAAAUAUUAAUAUAUAUCAAUCGAAUGAUUGGGCAAAAGCCAAUAUCUUCCAUGCUGAUAAGAAUAAAUGUAUCUGAUUGAGAGAAACUGAAUAUGCCUACUCCAUAAAAACAAUGAAUCAAAAUAUUAUUAUGCCUGCAAAUAUUUUUAUGGUACAUAUAUGACAUUAAAGGCAAAAGAACUUGACAUGGGACAGGCAGGCAACAAGAUCGUAGAAAACAUCUUCAAUGAUUACGGAGCCUUCUAUUAAGUUUAUGUAGAAAAUACGUACAAAUAAGUAAUGGCUUAUCAUGCAUUUUUAUUUUUGUUAUGAUAUGAGCAUUAAAUGACUCUUCCUCAAUGAAACAUCUGAAAGAGUGCAGGAUAAAAGAAUUCAAAACAAUUUACAACUGAUGAAGUUUCAGUGCAGUCAUCUUGUUAAUGUCUCUGUGACACAAAUAUACCGCAAGUAGGCACUCGCAGGGUGCUAUGCUCAAAUUGGGGCUAAACCACUGCUAUCAAAGCCGAAGGUACAAGACAUACUGGUCAAUAGCAUAAAAUAAUGGCUUGGAGUUGAAAGAGUUAAGUAUAGGGUUAAUCAAUUAUCGAGCAUCUAGUACUGACAGAGUCAUUUCAUUUGUCGAAGAAGAUACGUGCUUGUCUGAUGAAGAAUCUUCUUCAUGAAGUGGACUUUUCUUAAACAAAAUACCAAGUUGUUUGGGGUGUGGCAAUUCAGUUUCACUUCCCAACAUCAGAAUCACAAAUGACAUACUUGGCCUAUCCUCAGGAUGCUGUUGUAAACUUAAAAGACUGAUAAUGGAUGAAUUGUAUCACUUCUGAUAGAUUGCAAAGACCCUCCCAAGCAUUCUUCAACAAGUUUUAAAGGACUGCCUUAUUUCCAUAAUCUUCAUGCCUGCAGCAAAUUGAAACCCUUUUAGGUUUUAUCAGUCCAAGAUAAGCAGCAAAAAAUUGAUUAUAAAAAUAUCUGCUGAAACUGACAUGUUCAACAAGGUU